UUUAGUGGCGGACUGGUGAGUAACACGUAAGCAAUCUACCUAUUAGAGGGGAAUAACAAUGAGAAAUCAUUGCUAAUACCGCAUAAGCUUGUAGUAUCGCAUGAUACAGCAAGAAAAGGAGCAAUCUGCUAAUAGAUGAGCUUGCGGCUGAUUAGCUAGUUGGUAAGGUAACGGCUUACCAAGGCAACGAUCAGUAGCCGAGCUGAGAGGCUCUUCGGCCACAUUGGGACUGAGAUACGGCCCAGACUCCUACGGGAGGCAGCAGUCGGGAAUAUUGCGCAAUGGAGGAAACUCUGACGCAGUGACGCCGCGUAUAGGAAGAAGGUUUUAGGAUUGUAAACUAUUUUAGUCAGGGAAGAAAAAAGACGGUACCUGAAGAAUAAGCUCCGGCUAACUACGUGCCAGCAGCCGCGGUAAUACGUAGGGAGCAAGCGUUAUCUGGAAUUAUUGGGUGUAAAGGGUGCGUAGACGGGAAAUUAAGUUGGUUGUGAAAUCCCCUCGGCUCAACCGAGGAACUGCAACCAAAACUGAUUUUCUUGAGUGCAGGAGAGGAAAGCGGAAUUCCUAGUGUAGCGGUGAAAUGCGUAGAUAUUAGGAGGAACACCAGUGGCGAAGGCGGCCUGCUGGGCUUUUACUGACGCUGAGGCUCGAAAGCGUGGGUAGCGAACAGGAUUAGAUACCCUGGUAGUCCACGCCGUAAACGAUGAUUACUAGGUGUGGGUGGACUGACCCCAUCCGUGCCGGAGUUAACACAAUAAGUAAUCCACCUGGGGAGUACGGCCGCAAGGUUGAAACUCAAAGGAAUUGACGGGGGCCCGCACAAGCAGUGGAGUAUGUGGUUUAAUUCGAAGCAACGCGAAGAACCUUACCAGGUCUUGACAUCAAGUGACGAAUGUAGAGAUACAUUUUCCCUUCGGGGCACGAAGACAGGUGGUGCAUGGUUGUCGUCAGCUCGUGUCGUGAGAUGUUGGGUUAAGUCCCGCAACGAGCGCAACCCUUAUCAUUAGUUGCUACGCAAGAGCACUCUAGUGAGACUGCCGUUGACAAAACGGAGGAAGGUGGGGAUGACGUCAAAUCAUCAUGCCCCUUAUGACCUGGGCCACACACGUACUACAAUGGCGAUGACAGAGGGAAGCAACACCGCGAGGCAGAGCAAACCCCUAAACAUCGUCUCAGUUCGGAUUGCAGGCUGAAACUCGCCUGUAUGAAGUCGGAAUUGCUAGUAAUCGAGGAUCAGCAUGCCGCGGUGAAUACGUUCCCGGG
rnacentral:rRNA from 1 species